rnacentral:rRNA from 1 species
GACAGAGGGUGCAAACGUUGUUCGGAAUUACUGGGCGUAAAGCGCGUGUAGGCGGCUACGUAAGUCGGGCGUGAAAUCCCACGGCUCAACCGUGGAAGUGCACCCGAAACUGCGUAGCUAGAGUCCUGGAGAGGAAGGUGGAAUGCUUGGUGUAGAGGUGAAAUUCGUAGAUAUCAAGCGGAACACCGGUGGCGAAGGCGGCCUUCUGGACAGUGACUGACGCUGAGACGCGAAAGCGUGGGGAGCAAACAGG